GGAACUCUGGAGACACCUGCAUAUCUGCAGGGGCCGAAGGUGCAAACGGUUUCAACUGUAAACUCUCAGGCAAAAAGGACAGAGCAG
rnacentral:ncRNA from 1 species